UUAUAUCCCCACAUCUUAAAGUUUUGAUCAUGAAGGAUCCGACCGCUAGAUCCGGAACCUGAUUGGACAUCCGCAACCGCAACCGAGUCCGAGCAACUUAGAAAAUACCUAAUCAUUUCUUACAGACACAGCAAUAGAACAUCCAUUACAGCCAGAGAUAGGAGAUUAGUAGUUUUGUCGUGUCAGAGAUGGUAGUCGGACUUUUGUAUCCUGUACCAUCUUGGUACUUUUUUUCAUUUUUUAAAAAUAAAUUAUUAACUUAUCAAAAAAAAAAGUUAAGAGAAUAUAACAGUCACGGAAUGAAGGACAGAGAAAAGGCCAUGCAUGUAUUUUGUCAGACAAACAACACAAUGCAUGAUGGCAUCAAACAGGUGCAUCUUGAACUUCCAAUACAGGGUAUUUUGACCACAACAAGGGCAUUUUGCAUCAUUCAAGUAGCAAUAUCACAAACAUGGAUUAUGUCAUCGAAGAAAGCAAGAAUUUUGAUUCUGAUAAACAAAAAAUUCCAUGAAGAUCCAGAGGAAUUUGUCUUUAAUUUCUGACCAUCGACUCCCGUAGUACAAUUAUAUACCAUCAAAACUGCAGAAACAUCUUCCUUUUAAAAUAAAAAAAGAAAAAAGAAGCAGAUUCUGCAUACCUCCAAUUCUCUGUUUGAAUUUUUCUUUUGCUAUCCAUUUGCUUUUCACAACCAAUAAAAAGAAGGGAAAAGAACAGAAAAUUCCAUUCUGAUCAAAAUUUGCGUAUUUGAUAACACUGUUGAAUACUUAUCUGAGAAUACAAAAUGUUCCAAUUCUCAGCAAAUCAAACACAUUUGACUUUUGAAAGAUGAGACAUAUCCAGACUAGAAUAUUAUAUGACCACUAAUCUUGCAUUAUGAGGUCCUUUAUCUUUUCAUUCUAAGUAUGAGAAGAAGUAUACUUUGAGCUGAUGUCCAAUCUGGUCAAGAAUAUAUCUGAUAUGUUUUCAUUGGCCUAAUGCAUCUCUCAUCUUUUGGAACAUUUCAUCACCCACAAAUUCAAAAGAACCUGAUAUAUUCCUCUUUCCUGUUGAUUCAACCAAUAGAGAUCCUUCCUUUAAACAAAACGAAAUCUCCUUUAUGACUUUAUCCAUAGAUUCCAUUCUUACUGUACUUUUCAAUCUUUUACACUGUUAUACCCCGUACAUUUAUACGACGAAUUAUCCGCAAGCAAAUCGACUCAAGUUAAAGGCGGAAUUAUUUUCGGACAUGAAAUAAGAGCUUUUAAUUUUCAACUUUGAUUAUCACAAAAAUUGCUUAUAAAUUUUAUUUAGCAUAAAAAUAUUAAUAUUGAAGAUUAGGAAUUAAUUUAAUUAUCAAAAGUGGGCCCCACGACACGUGGCGAGAUUUGGUUGGCCUUGAAUAAAGAUGGACACAUGUCAUGAAAAUUGACACAUGUCCACUUUGUAAAGAUUAUAUAAAUGAGCAUAAGUGGAUGACUACACUACAAUUAAUCUUGCAAAUUAGGUUUUAGAGAGAGGGGCUCUCAAGCCUAGAGAGAGAGAGAGGGGUUCGGGCACUGUUCACGGCGACUGUUCACAGCGGCGCUACUGUUCACGGCCAGCCCAUUUUUGCCCCCUUCUACACAAUUAAUUGGAGAGAUUUGAAGAUCAAGAGGAGGAAAAAGAUGGAGCUCAUGGUAGCCAUGGCAACUCACGGCCAUGGCUUUCUUGAAGACAUUUCAUGGUGAAAAAUUAGAGCUUGUCUCUAAGACCUUGGGGAGCCCGAGGCGUAGAUUUGGAUUAGCUUUAGAUUGGCUAUCUUGGAAGUGCGUUCGAGGUACCGACGACAGGUUUGCUGAUCCGUCCGUCUAGGAUAUCUUUUCUGCCAUUUGGAGCGCUCUUUUAUUCAGAGCCCAUCUUUUGGUACAGUCUGUCACUACUGUAUUUAUAUAUUCUCGUUCAUGGGUACGGCGGGGCCCUGUCCCAUCAUAUGAUUCUGUCGGUCUAUUUAGAGGUCUGUAGACAUGUUUGUGGGUUGGGGUCUUUCUGUACGGAUGCGUGUAUAUGUUGUGUUUGGGCGAUCCCAUUCGCCGCGGCGGCCGGUCCGCAUAUGUGUAAAUGUUGCUUUGUUGGCCCUGGGCGGUCAUUGUUGGUAUUA